rnacentral:rRNA from 1 species
AUUGAACGCUCGCGGGAUGCUUUACACAUGCAAGUCGAACGGCAGCACGAAAAGAGCUUGCUCUUUUUGGUGGCGAGUGGCGAACGGGUGAGUAAUGUAUCGGAACGUACCCAGUAGCGGGGGAUAACUACGCGAAAGCGUGGCUAAUACCACAUACGCCCUACGGGGGAAAGGGGGGGAUCGCAAGACCUCUCACUAUUGGAGCGGCCGAUAUCGGAUUAGCUAGUUGGUGGGGUAAAGGCUCACCAAGGCAACGAUCCGUAGCUGGUUUGAGAGGACGACCAGCCACACUGGGACUGAGACACGGCCCAGACUCCUACGGGAGGCAGCAGUGGGGAAUUUUGGACAAUGGGGGAAACCCUGAUCCAGCCAUCCCGCGUGUGCGAUGAAGGCCUUCGGGUUGUAAAGCACUUUUGGCAGGGAAGAAACGGCGCUGACUAAUACUUGGCGCAACUGACGGUACCUGCAGAAUAAGCACCGGCUAACUACGUG